AUGCUUGGUUCAGCAGCACAUAUACUAAAAUUAGAACAUAAAAGUGAUUAGCAUGGCCCCUGUGCAAGGAUGACAUGCAAAUUCCUGAAAUACUUCAAAAUUUU